CCCAGACUCCUACGGGAGGCAGCAGUGGGGGAUAUUGCACAAUGGGGGGAACCCUGAUGCAGCGACGCCGCGUGGGUGAAGGAGCGUUUCGGCGCGUAAAGCCCUAUCGGCAGGGAAGAAGGAGGACGGUACCUGACUAAGAAGCCCCGGCUAACUACGUGCCAGCAGCCGCGGUAAUACGUAGGGGGCAAGCGUUAUCCGGAUUUACUGGGUGUAAAGGGGGCGCAGACGGCAGCGCAAGCCUGGAGUGAAAGCCCGGGGCCCAACCCCGGGACUGCUCUUGGAACUGCGCGGCUGGAGUGCAGGAGGGGCAGGCGGAAUUCCUGGUGUAGCGGUGAAAUGCGUAGAUAUCAGGAGGAACACCGGUGGCGAAGGCGGCCUGCUGGACUGCGACUGACGUUGAGGCCCGAAAGCGUGGGGAGCAAACAGGAUUAGAUACCCGCGUAA
rnacentral:rRNA from 1 species